rnacentral:rRNA from 1 species
GAUGAACGCUGGCGGCGUGCCUAAUACAUGCAAGUCGAGCGAACGGACGAGAAGCUUGCUUCUCUGAUGUUAGCGGCGGACGGGUGAGUAACACGUGGAUAACCUACCUAUAAGACUGGGAUAACUUCGGGAAACCGUAGCUAAUACCGGAUAAUAUUUUGAACCGCAUGGUUCAAAAGUGAAAGACGGUCUUGCUGUCACUUAUAGAUGGAUCCGCGCUGCAUUAGCUAGUUGGUAAGGUAACGGCUUACCAAGGCAACGAUGCAUAGCCGACCUGAGAGGGUGAUCGGCCACACUGGAACUGAGACACGGUCCAGACUCCCACGGGAGGCAGCAGUAGGGAAUCUUCCGCCAUGGGCGGAAGCCUGACGGAGCAACGCCGCGUGAGUGAUGAAGGGCUUCGGAUCGUAAAACUCUGUUAUUAGGGAAGAACAUAUGUGUAAGUAACUGUGCACAUCUUGACGGUACCUAAUCAGAAAGCCACGGCUAACUACGUG